ACCCCAGGGUAGGGCGGACCGUCGCGGGUGCCCCGCGGCAGGACCGAGCAUUCAGUUGGUACCUGGAGUUGAAUAAGUGUGGACGUGUGACUGUGGGAGUGUGCCGGUUGCCUGCCAGAGAGUGAGCUAGAGCGGUUUUCAGCAAACGGGCCAAAACUCUGUUGUGCGAGGGCCUCAGCCUGGGCCGCGGCCGACCGCACGGCGCAUCUGCAUCCGGCCAGCCACUAUGGAACGGAAACUUGUCAAGGGCCCAGCAGAGGUCACGUGGGUGCCCACGACCCCCUGUGCUCGGUGACCCCGGGUACGGCGGGCUGUACUCGCCAGGGCUGCGGCCAUUGACUGACCUUCAGUCACGGGAUGGGGAUGCGAUUCUGGUGACAUGAUCCGCGUUUGUCCAUCGACCCCCACGUAGCCGAGGACGGCGUGGAAGAGUCCCUGGGCCCAGGGGGAACAGCGAGGAGACCAGCGAC